AGACCAUAGCUCAGUGGCAGAGCGCAUGCAUCGCAUGCAGAAGGUCCCUGGUUCAAUCCCUGGAAUGUCUA